rnacentral:misc_RNA from 1 species
UGCGGGCCGUCUGGUGCGGUGCGCGGCCGGCCACGUGACCGUUCUCGGCGCGAGCUCGUGUCAGAGGUCAGCUCGCCGCCGUGGGGGGAGCGCCGCGGGGGGCCGGGAAGUGGUGCGAGACGGAGGGGUGUGAGCACAGGUGGAGUGGUCCAGUGGACGGGCAGAUCCGCGUCACAGACAGUCCGCUGACAGCCAGUGCGGUGUCCGGUGUCCCAGAACGGAGGUGACGCGUCGUCGCUGGUCCAAGGAUCUUUCAGGCGGCAGCGCCGCGUACCGCGCCCGCCCGCGUCAGUCUCGCCCUGCGGCCGGCGCGGGCCGGCGGUGCGUGUGUUCAUGUGCCGGCGCGCUGCGCCACUAUCCUGAUGGGCCAUGGUGGACUCGCGCGGAGCGCUGUUGACUGUGCUGCUGCCUCUGGCGGCGCUGGCGGCGGCGCCCAGCGCCGGCCGGCCCCCUCCGGAACACCAUCGGUCAGGCAGGAUGACCGCCACGUCAGCGGGGCCGUACCACAUCACGUACCCGGAGCGGGUCCAGUACGACGGCUCCCACAUCACGCACGACGUCAGUCAGACAUAUGACGUCGGUGACGCCGCCCCCGAGCCGUGGCGGGGGCGGGGGCGGCGCUGGCGGCGGGGACUGCGCCGCCGGGACCGCACGGCCCACUACCGGCUGCAGCUGAGCAGCGACGAGGAGGUGGUGCUGGACGUGAGACCCAACCGGCGCCUGAUCGCGCCCGGCUUCGUGGUGGAGCGCCGCUCGGAGGCGGGCCGGCCGGGCCGGCUGGAGCGGCUGCGGCGCCACUGUCUGAUGGAGGGACGGCUGCGCGGCCGGCCCAACUCGAUGGUGGCCAUCUCCGCCUGCCAGGGACUGCUGGGCUACAUUCACACGGAGGACCAGCAGUACAUUGUAGAGCCGGUCAGGGGUGAGGACGCACCCCGGGACGGCCCGAGGCCCCAUCUAGUCUACCGGCGCCACGCACCCGGCACCGGACCGAACGGGGGCGCAUCGGAGCGGGGAACCGGCACCUGCCGGACCGCUGGUUCGCGGUCGGGCCGCGGAAACUGGACGGCCUCGGAGCGGGCCUGGAGCCGGGCCCGGCGGUCAGAGGCGGCCAGGGUUCGCCGGCGGCGUUCCGUCAGCUUCGAGCGCAACGUCGAGACGCUGAUCGUCGCCGAUCCCGACGUUGUGCAGUUCUACGCGGCGGAUAACCUGGAGGCGUAUCUUCUUACUGUUAUGAAUGGGGUAGCGCAGCUGUAUCAUGAUGCCAGCAUCGGUAACGCCAUCAACGUGAUUCUGGUGCGCAUCAUGGUUCUGGAGGCGCCCGAGGAUAGCGAUUUAUACUUUAACAUCAGCGGCGACGGUGACAGUGCGCUAAAGAGCUUCUGCAACUGGCAAACCGCUAUGAACCCUUCAAACGAGAGUCACCCAAACCACCACGACGUGGCCGUGCUUCUCACCAGGCGCAACAUCUGCAGUGGGAACCAGACCUGCAACACGCUCGGCAUGGCUGAGGUCUCGGGGAUGUGUCAGCCAUCGCGCAGCUGCAACAUCAACCAGGACACGGGUCUCUCUGUCUCCUACACCAUCGCCCAUGAGCUGGGACACAAUUUCGGAAUGUACCACGACGGGCCCGGGAACGGCUGCGACCAGCAGAACGGUCACCGGAAGCACGUCAUGUCACCGAAUCUGGUCAAUGACGUCACACCAGUGGUGUGGUCUCGCUGCUCGCGCAGAGAGAUCACCAAGUUUCUCGACCGUGACUGGGGACAUUGUCUGAACGACUCGCCAACAGGUCCGGAGUACAGCUACCCUCAGGAGCCGCCGGGGAUGCUGUAUGACGCAGACCACCAGUGUAAGCUGCUGUACGGACCUGCCGCCUCUCACUGUCAAAUGGGGAACGUCUGUGAGACGCUCUGGUGCAGCGUGGACGGCCGCUGUGUCACCAAACUGGAGCCAGCUGCCGAGGGCACCAGCUGCACCAGCCCAGAGGCACCAGACGCCGUCACGUGGUGCUCAGCCGGUGAGUGUGUGGAGAUGCAGAGCCGGCCGCGAGCCGUGGACGGCGGCUGGGGCGGCUGGGGGGAGUGGAGCGCCUGCAGCCGGACCUGUGGAACCGGCCUGCAGAGCUCCACCCGCCACUGCGACCGACCCGUGCCCGCCAACGGCGGAAAGUACUGCGUCGGCGAGAGGCGGCGCUACCGCACCUGUGCCACUGAGCCCUGCUCUGAGGAGGGGGCGUCGUUCCGCGCCCAGCAGUGCUCGGCGUUCGACACGGUGCCCUACCAGGGCCGUAAUUACACCUGGAUGCCCGUCUACGACCAAACGCUGCCGUGUCAGCUGAUGUGUCAGCCUGUGGGCCACCACUUCACGGCCGUCCUAUCUGACACGGUGGUGGAUGGAACGCCGUGUCAGCGCAGCGCCGACGUCUGCAUCAACGGAAAAUGCCGGGUGAUCGGCUGUGACGGUGUGUUGGAUUCGGACGCUCGCGCCGACCGCUGCGGCGUAUGUCACGGCAACGGCAGCCUAUGUCACACGGUUCGUGAUACGUUCACGAUCGACCAGCCGACCAACGGUUAUUUCGUGGUGGCAGCCGUGCCGGUCGGGGCGCGAAAUAUUCGAAUGGAGGAGUUGGCGGGUACCGGUCUGGGCAGCUUCCUUUCCGUCAGCGGCACCGUCAGAGCCAGCGACAGUGACACCGGCACGGGUGGCGAGAUGGACGCUGAGGAGGGCACCGCUGACCAGCCAGGGGAACUGAACGCUAAUGGUCUGAUUCAGUGGAGCGGUGAGUAUCCGGUGGCUGGCUCGGCUCUCCUCUACUCCAGAGAGGAACAGAACGAGACAAUCACCAUACCGGGCCCUCUCAAAUCACCACUGGUGCUGAAGGUACUGCUGCAGGGGAGCGUGACUCGGGUGCGGUACGAGUACACGGUACCGGGACAUGAGGGCGCCGACGCACAGGUGUUCUCCUGGAGGUACCAGGACUGGGAGGAGUGCUCCAAACCGUGCGGCGGCGGACAGCAGAGGUCCUCGGCGGCGUGUAUGGAGGACGAGGCUGGCAGGGUUGAGGACAUCUACUGCAAAUCGGAGAAGCCGCCCGACCGCGUCCAGGCCUGCAACGAGCACGACUGUCCGGCCAGGUGGUGGACGGGCCCGUGGUCGCCGUGCCCGGCAGAGUGCGGCCUCACUGGGAACCGCACUCGCUCCGUACACUGCGUCCGCUCCGGCAAAGGAGUAACAACAGCGCUCAGCAACGACGAGUGCGACCCGGGAGAGCGGCCCGGCGACCAGGAGGCGUGCAGGAAGGAGCCAGCCGACUGUCUGUGGAAAACCGGCCCCUGGAGGGAGAAGUGCUCGGGCGGUGACUCGUGCCGCCGCACGCGGCUCGUCUGGUGCCCGGUACCGGACGGCUGCGGUGCCGCGCGCAAACCGUCCUCCAGUCACUCGUGCAGCGCUGCGCGGUGUCGGAGACGGCACCGGUUCCACCACAAACGGCGGCGGCCGCACGGCGCCGCCCGCGACGCGCCCUCUCUCACCCUGCUGGAGCGUGACGAGAUCGACAGCGAGGAGACGGCCGAGGAGGAGGCGCCGCCGGCAGUCUCGGCGCACCGCGGCCGGGACGCCGCGCGGCUGAUGGCGCGCUUGCAGAACGCCCUGCCGACCGGGCCGCUGGACGGGGGGCCGCCGGGCAACUACACGUGGCGCCUCGGAGACUGGGGAGAGUGUAAUUCGGUGUGCGGAGCGGGCCAGAAGAGUCGAACGGUUCAGUGCGUCGACGCCGCACACAAGACCAGCGUCGAGCUGUCCCGGUGCUCUCUUCCCAUUCCAGACAUCCGUGCCUGGAGUGGCAGGUGGCCUCCUGGGCGCCCUGCUCGGUCUCCUGUGGCGCUGGAAAGGUCACCCGACAGGUCAGCUGCCCUGAGCCGAGCCGAUGUGACCUGAACCACCGGCCUGCCGACUCAAAACCCUGCUGGGAAGGACCCUGUGCACAUUGGCAGCUUGGUGAGUGGCAGCCGUGCAGUCGCCCGUGUGGCGGCGGGUACAGCCGCCGCUCGGCCGUCUGUAUCAGUCUGAUCACGGCUCAGCCCACGGACGGGUGUGGGGCACGACCUCUGACCCGAAGGGCGUGCAACCUGGAGCCCUGCCCGGGCAGCGCCGGCGCGGGGCAAUGAGAUAAACACGGCCGGUGAGCGGUGGUCCUGCUCCGGUGGUGCUGCACGGCCGCGCUCCUGAGACGGCGUGGAGCCCACCUUGAUGUGCUGUUCGCGCAGCGCUCCUGGCCACCCGCCGGCUGCUGGCGGUGGCUCGGCUGCGCCCGGCUGCUGGUGGCUCCUCCGCUGCGCCCGGCUGCUGGUAUCUACACUGCGCCCGGCUGCUGUUAGCUCGGCUGCGCCUGGCUGCUGUUAGCUCGGCUGCGCCCGGCUGCAGCCGCUGUGGAGCUGAGGUGUGAGUUCGCCGCAGCUCCCGGCCGGCGAGGGUCGGCUGCCGGGCCGGCCUGUGGACUACUGGGCUCGUGUGACCGCCCGACUUAGGCCGUCAGAGGUAACUUUGUGAUAUGCAGGCGAGGUUCUACGGGACCUAGCGGGUGGACGGGAGGGUGUACUCGACCGCCCGCGCCAGUGUCGUUUAUAGUUCCGUAUCGCCGCCGAGGCACAGGCGGUGACCGUUGUAACAGCCCUAUGUAAUCGUUGAUAUAUGUGGAGAUGUUUUAAAAACAGCAGACGUAUUGCAUCUCACAGGUCAAGCGCUGGCUUUUGUUGAGCUGCAGUGAAUUCUGAGAGGCGUCAUGAAUAUUUAUCCGUGCUGAAGAAGGGAUCGUGCAGGGAAGAGCUCACCCACCCUGAUACCGCAUUGUUUGUUAUUGUUCGGUGCCACUAAUACCUAAUGGUCGUUCAUCUAAAUCGAGAGUAUGCUUGUUAACGGGAAGCAAGUGUGGUUUGAAUUGUGUUCGCAACGCGUUCUCUUGCAAAAAUAAAUGCGAUACAUAAAUGUGGGGCAAGCUUAGCUCUGCCAUUUCCUGAAA